AGCCGAAACUCCCGGAAGGGAGUCGUCGGGGGGUGUUGCCCCCGGCCUGACGAUGGCAGACGAGA
rfam:Streptomyces phage R4, complete genome.